GACGAACGCUGGCGGCGUGCCUAAUACAUGCAAGUAGAACGCACAGUUUAUACCGUAGCUUGCUACACCAUAGACUGUGAGUUGCGAACGGGUGAGUAACGCGUAGGUAACCUGCCUGGUAGCGGGGGAUAACUAUUGGAAACGAUAGCUAAUACCGCAUAAUAUUAAUUAUUGCAUGAUAAUUAAUUGAAAGGUGCAAUUGCACCACUACCAGAUGGACCUGCGUUGUAUUAGCUAGUAGGUGAGGUAACGGCUCACCUAGGCGACGAUACAUAGCCGACCUGAGAGGGUGGUCGGCCACCCUGGGACUGUGACCCGGCCCAGACUCCUUCGGGAGGCAGCAGUAGGGAAUCUUCGGCAAUGGGCGAAAGUCUGACCGAGCAACGCCGCGUGAGUGUAGAAGGUUUUCGGAUCGUAAAGCUCUGUUGUAAGAGAAGAACGGGUGUGAGAGUGGAAAGUUCACACUGUGACGGUAUCUUACCAGAAAGGGACGGCUAACUACGUG
rnacentral:rRNA from 1 species